GAUUAACGCUGGCGGUGUGUCUAAUACAUGCAAGUCGAGCGAGGCUUCGAGCCGAGCGGCGGACGAGCGAGUAACACGUUAGUACCUGCCCCGAACUCAGGGAUAACCCAUCGAAAGGUGUGGCUAAUACCGGAUAGUCCCGAAAGGGUAAAGAUUUUUCGGUUCGGGAGGGGCUUGCGGCCUAUCAGCUUGUUGGUGAGGUAAUGGCUCACCAAGGCUACGACGGGUAACUGGUCUGAGAGGAUGAUCAGUCGCGAUGGAACUGAGACACGGUCCAUACUCCUACGGGAGGCAGCAGUAGGGAAUCUUCCGCAAUGGACGAAAGUCUGACGGAGCAACACCGCGUGGUCGAUGAAGCCUUUUGGGGUGUAAAGACCUUUUCUGAGAGAAGAAUUAUGACGGUAUCUUAGGAAUAAGCACCGGCUAACUCCG
rnacentral:rRNA from 1 species